rnacentral:rRNA from 1 species
GACGAACCGUGCGAACGUUGUUCGGAUUCACUGGGCUUAAAGGGCGCGUAGGCGGCUUGCCAAGUCAGGGGUGAAAUCUCUCGGCUCAACCGGGAAAGUGCUUCUGAUACUGGCGGGCUGGAGGAGGGUAGGGGCAGAUGGAACUUCCGGUGGAGCGGUGAAAUGCGUAGAUAUCGGAAGGAACGCCGGUGGCGAAAGCGAUCUGCUGGACCCUUUCUGACGCUGAGGCGCGAAAGCCAGGGGAGCGAACGGG